rnacentral:rRNA from 1 species
AGUGAAUAGAUACCCGGGUAGUCCCAGCCGUAAACGAUGCUCGCUAGGUGUCAGGCAUGGCGCGACCGUGUCUGGUGCCGCAGGGAAGCCGUGAAGCGAGCCACCUGGGAAGUACGGCCGCAAGGCUGAAACUUAAAGGAAUUGGCGGGGAGCACAACAACGGGUGGAGCCUGCGGUUUAAUUGGACUCAACGCCGGACAACUCACCGGGGACGACAGCAAUAUGUAGGCCAGGCUGAAGACCUUGCCUGAAUCGCUGAGAGGAGGUGCAUGGCCGUCGCCAGUUCGUACUGUGAAGCAUCCUGUUAAGUCAGGCAACGAGCGAGACCCGUGCCCACUGUUACCAGCAUAUCCUCCGGGAUGAUGGGUACUCUGUGGGGACCGCCGGCGUUAAAUCGGAGGAAGGUGCGGGCCACGGUAGGUCAGUAUGCCCCGGAAUUUCCCGGGCUACACGCGGGCUACAAUGAAUGGGACAAUGGGUCCUCCCGUCAAAAGGGUCUGGUAAUCUCACAAACCCGAUCCGUAGUUCGGAUCGAGGGCUGUAA